CCUGCAGGUAUCACAGCUGGAGCCUGGCUCAGUUCCCCAGGGUUCACAGUCCUUCACUGCCCAGGUGUGCUGCUCCUCCUGCAAGUCACACAGGUCAAUAUGUCACUCACCACCUGAAAGGACUUCUGUUCUGCAAACCUCUCCUGUGGAGUGGAGUGAAAACUCAAAUAAAGACAAUAACUCUAUUUAAACAGCAAA